GUAGGGUGCAGGCGUUAAUCGGAAUUACUGGGCGUAAAGCGUGCGCAGGCGGUUUCUUAAGUCAGAUGUGAAAGCCCCGGGCUUAACCUGGGAACUGCGUUUGAAACUGGGAGACUUGAGUGUGGCAGAGGGGGGUGGAAUUCCACGUGUAGCAGUGAAAUGCGUAGAUAUGUGGAGGAACACCGAUGGCGAAGGCAGCCCCCUGGGUUAACACUGACGCUCAUGCACGAAAGCGUGGGGAGCAAACAGGAUUAGAUACCCUGGUAGUCCACGCCCUAAACUAUGUCAACUGGUUGUCGGGGGAUUAACUCCCUUGGUAACGAAGCUAACGCGUGAAGUUGACCGCCUGGGGAGUACGGCCGCAAGGUUA
rnacentral:rRNA from 1 species